UACGGAGGGUGCGAGCGUUGUCCGGAAUUAUUGGGCGUAAAGGGCGCGUAGGCGGCUUUUCAAGUGACGGGUGAAAUCCCUCGGCUUAACCGAGGAACUGCCUGUCAGACUGGAAGGCUUGAGACCGGGAGAGGUGAGUGGAAUUCCCAGUGUAGCGGUGAAAUGCGUAGAUAUUGGGAGGAACACCGGUGGCGAAGGCGGCUACCUGGACCGGUACUGACGCUGAGGCGCGAAAGCUAGGGUAGCAAACAGG
rnacentral:rRNA from 1 species